rnacentral:rRNA from 1 species
UACGUAGGGUGCAAGCGUUAAUCGGAAUUACUGGGCGUAAAGGGCGCGUAGGUGGCCCGGCAAGCGUGCGGUGAAAGCUCGGGGCUCAACCCCGAGUCGGCCGUGCGAACUGCUGGGCUCGAGCACUGUAGAGGCAGGCGGAAUUCCGGGUGUAGCGGUGGAAUGCGUAGAGAUCCGGAAGAACACCGGUGGCGAAGGCGGCCUGCUGGGCAGUGGCUGACACUGAGGCGCGACAGCGUGGGGAGCAAACAGG